UAAGCCCUGCUGAUUUCCUGAGCCAGAUACCAUGUGGGCUCCUCUUUCUGGGGCAGGUCUCCAGGGCAGGGGUGCCUCCGUGGGGCUCGAACUCCUGGCGCCUCAGGGAGGACCACCAGGUAAAUACCUAGAAGUGGAAUCAUUGGGUCAUAUGAUUCCUAACUUGCUGAGAAAUCGUCAAGCAGUUUUCAGAAGUGGUUGUCCCAUUUUACGUUUCCACCAAACGUGGAUGAGAGUUGCAGUUGCUCCACAUUCUCCCAACAACAUGUAAUGGCAGAAGAGAAAGCUAUAAAGACAACCAAAAUGACCAAGAUUUUCGGAAUUGUAUUGAAUGUGGAUUGACCCAAAUUAACUGAAAAUCCACAUUUUAUGUGGCAAGGCUUGAGUGAGAUAUCAGUAAUGAGUUGCAAUGUAUUAAGUUACUACUAUGUGCCAGGUGCCAAACAGAGGCAUAAA